rnacentral:rRNA from 1 species
CGGUAACAGGGGUAGCUUGCUACCCGCUGACGAGCGGCGGACGGGUGAGUAAUGCAUGGGUAUCUGCCCGGUAGUGGGGGAUAACUCGGGGAAACCCGAGCUAAUACCGCAUACGUCCUACGGGAGAAAGCAGGGGAUCUUCGGACCUUGCGCUAUCGGAUGAGCCCAUGUCGGAUUAGCUUGUUGGUGAGGUAACGGCUCACCAAGGCGACGAUCCGUAGCUGGUCUGAGAGGAUGAUCAGCCACACCGGGACUGAGACACGGCCCGGACUCCUACGGGAGGCAGCAGUGGGGAAUAUUGGACAAUGGGGGAAACCCUGAUCCAGCCAUGCCGCGUGUGUGAAGAAGGCCUUCGGGUUGUAAAGCACUUUCAGUGGGGAAGAAGGCAUGAUGAUUAAUACUCGUCAUGAAGGACAUCACCCACAGAAGAAGCACCGGCUAACUCCGUGCCAGCAGCCGCGGUAAUACGGAGGGUGCAAGCGUUAAUCGGAAUUACUGGGCGUAAAGGGCGCGUAGGCGGCUUGCCAAGCCGGAUGUGAAAGCCCCGGGCUCAACCCGGGAACGGCAUUCGGAACUGGUAGGCUAGAGUGCAGGAGAGGAAGGUGGAAUUCCCGGUGUAGCGGUGAAAUGCGUAGAGAUCGGGAGGAAUACCAGUGGCGAAGGCGGCCUUCUGGACUGACACUGACGCUGAGGCGCGAAAGCGUGGGUAGCAAACAGGAUUAGAUACCCUGGUAGUCCACGCCGUAACGAUGUCGACCAGCCGUUGGACCCCUUGAGGGUUUGGUGGCGCAGUUAACGCAAUAAGUCGACCGCCUGGGGAGUACGGCCGCAAGGCUAAAACUCAAAUGAAUUGACGGGGGCCCGCACAAGC